GCUCGGGUAGCUCAGUUGGUAGAGCGUCCGCCUGAAGAGCGGUAGGUCGCCGGUUCGACCCCGGCCCCGAGCA
rnacentral:tRNA from 5 species